CCCAGAUCGUUUACCGUGAAAAAAUUAGAGUGUUCAAAGCAGGCAGAUCCAAUUUUCUGCCACCGAAUACAUUAGCAUGGGAUAAUGGAAUAGGACCCUGUCCUCCUAUUUUCAGUUGGUUUGCCGCGAGGACCAGGGUAAUGAUUAAUAGGGAUAGUUGGGGGCAUUAAUAUUUAAUUGUCAGAGGUGAAAUUCUUGGAUUUAUGAAAGAUUAACUUCUGCGAAAGCAUCUGCCAAGGAUGUUUUCAUUAAUCAAGAACGAAAGUUAGGGGAUCGAAGACGAUCAGAUACCGUCGUAGUCUUAACCAUAAACGAUGCCGACCAGCGAUUAGGAGACGUUGAAUACAAAACACCACCAUGCGCAUUGCGGUCGUCUUUGGUGUCGCUCACAAGGCGGCACCGGGGCGGCUUAGCUCGCAUGGCACCGGUGAAUGACUCCCCUAGCAGCUUGUGAGA
rnacentral:rRNA from 1 species